rnacentral:lncRNA from 1 species
CCCACAACACGUCAUCAUCGAAUACGAGCUCCAGCCAAUGAGCGAGCAGCUGCUUGGUGCCAGUGAGUUUCUGUCUCGAUCGGAUUGUGUUAAAAUACGUUUUGUUUUCUUAUAAAAACAAAAGUCCAGAACACAAAUAUUUUCUUGGCGACUAGUAAGAAACAAAACAAAUCGGGUAUUCGAGACUUGUCUUGUGUGACUAAAAAAGGUGGGACUUUGUACAUGCGCACUGGAGUGCAUCAGCCAGUCUUCUUUGUAAGUUUCACACGUGUUCAUCCAAUGAAAACUUUGAAGGUGUUUGAAACCAACCUGGACGGGUAUCGUUUGUUAUUUUCUGGAGCUCUAAGUGUCUAGGCGAACCCUACAAGAACCCUCGGUUAACAGUACUAAUGCAUCCUGAGGCGAUUCAGGACCAAAUGUCCUGGUCAGUUGGUGAGUGUGUGAGGUGUGGCUCCUGUUCAGGGUGUAUGAAGUUUAUUUCAUUGUAUUGCACAGCAGUACAAUGACAACGUCUUCAAUUCAAUUCAAGUUUGCAUGUUUCUCCCGUUUACCAUCCAGACAUACAUGCCAUGGAAGAAGUCAUUGGCAAGGCAUGUUCUGUUCCUUCUUGCCUUGCAAAUCAUAUGUGGAACACCAAAAACCAGUUAUAGGAACAGAACAUCAUUAUUUUGGCUUUUGAUUAUUUUGGCAACUUUUUUCUGAGAAAUUAUUUAAAUAAAGGAAUCUAAUGGUUUGUACA